GGAGACCUAUUGGUCAAAAGGCCAAAAUUUGUGGCUUUUAUGUGUUUUAAUUGACUAAUUAGUAAUAAAAUAAAGAAAAGAAAAUAUCAUCUUUUCUUCAUCUUCUCUCCACCGAAAAAUGGCAGCAAAGAAAGGGUUUAGAAGCUGGAAACUUUCAGCAAAGAAACUCCCUUUAUAGUAAGUGAUUUUAAUGUCUUUGCUUGAUGAUUUUUACAUUUUUGGAAUCCCUAAAGCAUGAGCUUUCAUAAGAGGGGAUUAUUUUGCAAAUGAUGAAGAGUCUAGGGUUUUACCAUGAGAGUAAAUAUGUUGUUUUCUGUGUUUUUAUGGAAGAUUAUGAGUCCUAGUUGUCUAAUAAACAACUUUUGUGAAAGAAAUUGCAUGAAAAUACCUUAAAAAGGGCUAAAUUGCUAAGUUGUAAAAUGAGUUGUAAAUGUGUAAAACAGUUGAAAUUAUGAGCUGCUGUAGUUAUGAAAAUGGUUCAUCUAGACUCAAGGAGUAAAGAAAUGUGAUAAAAAUUAAUUUACGAGCAUUGGGGCAAAAGUGCAAAUAUGCAAAAGUUUAGGGGUCAAAAUGAAAAUUUGUAAAAAUAUGAUUUUUAGACCCAUAUGAAUAUUGUGACUGAUUGUUAGGCUAAAUUGAUGUUAUAGAUGAUGAAAAUUGAGAUUUGGACCUAGAACGGAAAGAAAUCGAUUUAUGGACGAGUAUGUCUUUUCACCUUUGUGGUAUCGAGGUAAGUUCGUAUGUAAACAAUACCAUGCUAUACAUGUAUUUAAAUGUUAUCAUUACAUGAAUUGUAAGGUAUUAAUGUGUAUGUGAUUAAUAGAAAUAUGAUAAGACAAAGCCUUAAUAGGCAAGGAAAAAUCCCGUUUGAACGUUAGGAAUAAAUUAGGAUACGAGUGACAUGUCACUAGGAAUUAUGAGUCUAGAUGACUAGCUCGAUAGUGAGCAUUGAAAUGUCAUGAGAUAUGAGAUAGCUUUAGCUACAAUUGAGGCACUUAUGUGCAAAGGCUUUUCCGAGUAUCCAAUUAGUAUUCCAAGUGUUCAACGGGCAAUCCAAGGAAAGAGUUGAUGAUGGUCCCAAUGAGGUAAGUCAUUAGUGAGUAUGCACUCGAGUUAUGUUACGAGUUGUGCAAGUAUGUAUACUAAGCCUAUGAGAAUGCCUUGAUACGUGAUGAUCUAUGAUGCAUAAUAUGUGUUCUUACCAUGAUGGAUAAAAUGGUGUUGUAUUAAUAUUAUGAACAAUGACCAUGAAUGAGUAACUUAACCUUGACAGAUUUGAGUUACUGCAGUAGUGUAACUUUGAAAAUACACUAAAAAUAGUAUAAAAUGAAUUAGAGGCAGAAUAAAAUAUGGGAUUAAAGCUUAAUGAGUCUAUUUUCACAUGAAAGAAAUAAAGGAGAAAAAGAAUUCUAUAUUGUGUGAUAUUUAAAUUCUCGUGAAACAGGGUCUGAAUGAAUUCGAGAUCCCCUGUUCUGAUUUUAUAAAUUCACCGUAAAUUGUACAAAAAUUAUUAAGAGUCAUACCUUACAUGCAUGGAUUCCUUAUUGAGUCUAUCUUUAAGGGAAACAAACGGCAUGAUCAUUGGAAUUAUGUACAGAGAGAAAUUCAGUUCGUAGUGCAUAGGGGUCAGAGUAGUCAUACCCUAAAACAGGGGAAAUUUUAACUAAUAAACUGUAUUAAAUGGCUUGACCAAAAAUUCUAGAAAAAAAAUUAGUAAGUAGACAUAUGAGUCUAGUUUCAAGGGAAAUAGACGAUAACAUUAUUCGAGUCCUGUACUAUGAGAUAAUUGAACUUUAAUGCAGAAGUGUUGAAACUGUCAGACAGUGAAUCAGGAGCAAACUUGAGGAAUAAACUGUACUAAUUGGCUAAGUCAAAAAUUCUGGAAAUUUUAUCGAAGAAAUAUAAAUGAGUCUAGUUUCAGGGAAAAUUAACGGAACUUAAUUUGGAGUUUCGUAGCUCCAGAUAUGAAUAAUUUAGUGACUGCUGCUCAGGAAGACAGCUUGUAGUGAACUUGAGAAUAUGUUGUAAACAUUGAUAAAACAAGUUAAUGAGUUGCUUAUUGUUUUCAUAUGAACUUACUAAGUGAAAGCUUACCCUCUUCUUUCCCAUGUUUUCUAGAGUUUCCAGGUUAGCUCGGGUUGGAGGCCGUCAGAGAUAUUAUCACACUGUCGAGUUAACGCUAUCGACGUAAGUAAACUCAAGUGAUUCUAGUCUAUGGCAUGUAUAGGGUUUUAAUGUGAGUAUGUAAUAUUAUGAUUUAGCCAAAGGCAUUGGCUUGUUAUUAAGGUAGUAUUGUAAUAUUAUGAUUUAGCCAAAGGCAUUGGCUUGUUAUUAAGGUAGUAUUAGUCCUGUAAAUUGGCCUAUGUCGGCUAAUAUCGUUAUGGGCCCAUAUGAUUAUUCUUAUGCAUGUAUGUUAUUAUCUCUUGUAAUGUGGCUUACAACAUGUAUGCCUAGAGAUUGAAUUGAGAUUCAUUGAUGAGCUAAUAGCUAAUGCAGGAUUAAGUGAUUGGUAAAUAGUUAAUAAUGCUUCAUGAAUGGUUUGUGGAUAUGAUUAUGCAUGCUUUGUGAUGGACAAGAGGUUUGAUGACAUGUUGAUAGCUAUAGCAUUAAUAUGGUAAAGAUGAAAAAAAAACUUAUUGUAAUGGUUGCAUGUGAAAUUACCAUGG
rnacentral:lncRNA from 1 species